rnacentral:rRNA from 1 species
AGCAGCCGCGGUAAUUCCAGCUCCAAUAGCGUAUAUUAAAGUUGUUGCAGUUAAAAAGCUCGUAGUUGAAUUUCGGAAUCAAUUUAUUGGUCGUGCAAUAGUACGUACUGAUAUUAUUGGUUUCUCCCUUCUGAUGAACCAUGAUGUCAUUAAUUUGGUGUUAUGGGGAAUCAGGACUGUUACUUUGAAAAAUUAGAGUGUUUAAAGCAGGCUCACGCUUGAAUACAUUAGCAUGGAAUAAUGAAAUAGGACGUUUGAUUCUAUUUUGUUGGUUUCUAGGAUCGACGUAAUGAUUAAUAGGGAUAGUUGGGGGCAUUAGUAUUCAAUUGUCAGAGGUGAAAUUCUUGGAUUUAUUGAAGACUGACUACUGCGAAAGCAUUUGCCAAGGAUGUUUUCAUUAAUCAAGAACGAAAGUUAGGGGAUCGAAGACGAUCAGAUACCGUCGUAGUCUUAACCAUAAACUAUGCCGACUAGGGAUCGGAUGAUGUUAAUUUUUAAUGACUCAUUC